CCAAAAGGGGGAGCGAUAGCUUUCUAUAUUUAGUAAGGCAAUAACAUGGAUUCUUGAAUAAAUAGAAGUAGAACAUGAGUUUACCAGGGGAAUGAAUAUCCUCAAUCUUGUUGAAUUCAGGUUUCAGAGAUGUCUCACCUGCAGCAUCAUUCGAUUCACCAACAACAGAAGUUCUGGGGAUAGCCAGAUGUACAAAAGGCCUGUAGAUUUGAAUAUAAUCUGAAACCACGAAGUGCCUCUCUUUGCAUAAAACAUAAUAUAUGCCUGCUCUGCCAAAACAUCUACUUGAACAAAAAUAACUUUUGACAAAAUCAAACAAAAUAUCAAGUUAGUUGUC
rnacentral:lncRNA from 1 species